rnacentral:rRNA from 1 species
AUUGAACGCUGGCGGCAGGCCUAACACCUGCAAGUCGAGCGAGCGGCGGACGGGUGAGUAAUGUCUGGGAAACUGCCUGAUGGAGGGGGAUAACUACUGGCAACGGUAGCUAAUACCGCAUACCAUCCGAUGUGCCCAGAUGGGAUUAGCUAGUAGGUGGGGUAAUGGCUCACCUAGGCGACGAUCCCUAGCUGGUCUGAGAGUAUGUCCAGUCACAAUAGACACGGACCAUGGUCCAGAUGCCUACGGGAGGCACCAGUGGGGAAUAUUGAACAAGGGGCGCAAGCCGUAGGCAGCCGUGCCGAGUUGAUGAAGAAGGCCUGUGGGUUGAAAUGUACUUUCAGCGGGGAGGCUUUACCCGCAGAAGAAGCACCGGCUAACCCCGGGCCAGCGGCCGCGGUAGAAG